rnacentral:misc_RNA from 1 species
GGAAGUAUCAUCACUGUAUACCGUCCAUUUGAUCUGGGGGGAAAAAUAAACUUGUAUGAUAUUUUUCUUAACGGGAAAAUUCAAACAAGUUUCCCUCCCAGUCAAACCAUUAGUGCGUUUGUUGAAGUCCAAUUAGAGGUCAACAAAAAAAUAAAAUAGAGAAGGAAAGAUAGAGGAAUUUUUAAUUCUUCUUUUUUUUCCCCCUCUUUUUUUUUUGUAGACAUUUAACUCUUUUUAAUUCAAUCAAAAUCGUAUCAAUAUUCAUCGAUAAAAAUUCAUUUUUUUUUCGCUGAAAAUUAUAUAAAAAAUAAAAAAUAAAUUUAGACAACUUUUACCAGUGGAUACCUAGGCUCCCAGUUCGAGGAAGAACGCAGCAACCUGCGAUAAGUCAUGUGAAUUGCAGAAUCACGUGAAUCAUCGAAUCUUUGAACGCAAAUUGCGCCCCGGCGUUGAGCUUGGGCGUGUCUGUUCGAGUGUCAGCAAUAAAUAAUCAAGUAAUUUUUUUAUUUUCAUUUUUAUAAUGAAACAUCAAAAUUUCUUGGAGUUGGAAGAUCAAUGAGGGGAGAAAAGUAAAGUCAAAUUUAUUUUCCAGCCCCUUCAAAAUAUUGACCUUCUUAAAUGAAAUUUUAUAGUAAGGGUGAUGGGCAUUCGUGAUCAACAUUGUGAUUCGUUUCUUCAUUUAGCAACCGAAAGGUUAAGAAGAUGACGUUCCGAUACUGUGACGUGUGUUCCUUCUUCUUCUUGAAGUAAGAAACCCUCCCUGCGAAUUAAGUGGAAUUAUUUCUACAAUUUACUCCAGUGUGAGAGUCCGAUCCCGGAAGACUUUUUUCAUAUUCGUCUCUAUUUGAAAGUGAACGCAUUUAGGGAAUUCAAUUUAUUUUGAAUUCCGAUCCGGUUGUGGAAUCCCAUCCUUUUAACUCUUACGAUCUAUCGUCCUUAAAGACUUCCUCACGAGGGAAGAUUUUCACUUUGGACAAUAUAAAAACAAUCUCGACCUCGAAUCAGGCAAGACCACGCGCUGAACUUAAGCAUAUUACUAAGCGCAGGAAAAGAAACCAACAGGAAUUCCCCCAGUAACGGCGAGUGAAGCGGGAAAAGCUCAAACUUAAAAUCUGGGCGCCCAAGGGUGCUCCGAGUUGUAGUAUUUGGACUGAUAAUUGCGGCGUCGUCAACGUUUGGGCGUAAGUUCUUUGGAACAAGGCAUCAGAGAGGGUGAGAAUCCCGUAUGCAGCCCCGUUUUGUCGAUGCAUUACGCAUUUGUCUUUCUACGAGUCGGUAUGAUUGGGACUUCAUACCAAAGUAGGAGGUAGUUCUCUUCUAAAGCUAAAUAUAACUGGGAAACCGAUAGCAAACGAAGUAGUGUGAACGAAAGGUGAAAAGAACUUUGAAAAAAAGGUCAAAAGUGCUUGAAGCUGGUAAAAGGGAACGAUAUAGAGUCAGUGAUUGCGUGCAGUGUUUCACUCUAUCAGCCAGAAGCGAGGCCGGACACACGGAGGUGUAUGCCACGGAGUGCUGGUUCGCCAAGGACGAUGGAGGUAAUUCGUUGUAUCGCGAGUCAACAUCAGUUUGGGCUUGGCAACGGAGAAAGGCAGGAGGAAGGUGGGUCGCACUCUCGGGUGCGGCUGUUAUAACCUCUUGUUGCAUACGUUGUCCUAGACUGUGGAAGUAAAACACGUGCCUCGGCGAGGUAAUUGGCUGACCCGGGCGGUUGACGGUGAGUUUCUGCUUGCAGCGCUCAUCGUCGGCAGGCUCGGCAAUGUUGAUCCCAUCAGCGUGUUCGGCAUGUUGACGAAAUGACUCUAUUUCACCCGUCUUGAAACACGGACCAAGGAGACUAUUAUGUUUGCGAGUAUUUGGGUGGAAAACCCACGUGCACAAUGAAAGUGAACGAUACGAAGCCGCAAGGUUGCAGUAUCGGCCGACCUUUCUAAGGAUAGGAUCGAGUCAGAGCAGACAUGAUGGGACCCGAAAGAUGGUGAACUUAGCGUGCGCAGGGUGAAGCCAGAGGAAACUCUGGUGGAGGCUCGUAGAGAUACUGACGUGCAAAUCGUUCUUCUGACGUGCGUUAAGGGGCGAAAGACUAAUCGAACCAUCUAGUAGCUGGUUCCCAC